rnacentral:rRNA from 1 species
CAGCAGCCACGGUAAUACAGAGGGUGCGAGCGUUAAUCGGAUUUACUGGGCGUAAAGCGUGCGUAGGCGGCUUCUUAAGUCGGAUGUGAAAUCCCUGAGCUUAACUUAGGAAUUGCAUUCGAUACUGAGAAGCUAGAGUAUGGGAGAGGAUGGUAGAAUUCCAGGUGUAGCGGUGAAAUGCGUAGAGAUCUGGAGGAAUACCGAUGGCGAAGGCAGCCAUCUGGCCUAAUACUGACGCUGAGGUACGAAAGCAUGGGGAGCAAACAGGAUUAGAUACCCCCGUAGUCCCUGUCUCUUAUAA